CCCAGGAUGGCCGAGUGGUUAUGGCAUCAGACUGCUGAUUUCGAAUUCGCAGGUUCGAAUCCUGCUCCUGGGA